rfam:Lachnospiraceae bacterium 3-1 genomic scaffold acPFp-supercont1.21, whole genome shotgun sequence.
UGCGCCGUGAGGUGUAGGCGAGAAGAAGGGAUAGCGAAAUCGUAGCCUGACGAACAGAAACCUGAUAUUAAGGCGUUUGCGGUGGAUAAGCCGGCUAAAAGCGGUGAAGUCCAAAAGGCAACCGUAACCCGUAGGCGUAAAUCAGGCAGGUAGACGAGGAAAGACUGGCAG